UAAAGAGAUUUUGAUAGAUUUUACGUAAUUAUAAAAAUCAUUAUCUUGCACCAGCGUUCAAAAGAAAAUAAUGUUAGAAAAUGUUAUAGAAAAAGAAGCAAUUUAUGACUAAAAUUCGUGAGGAGAUAUUAAUCUCGCAAUAUCUUUCGUAUUUACGAUUAACUACACAUUGAACAAUCCGCGGUAGAGAAUUCCUUUCUCGUCCAUCAAUUGAAAUGUUCAACCCUCAGAGGGUUGAUUCUUAUCGCGAAUUAUGUACGUAUUUCCUUUUCAUUGAUAUUCAUUCUUUUCUAUCCUAUAGCAUUGAAAUCUUGAUCCUAAUUUAAAUUUAAGGAAGUGCAAUUAUUAUUUAUACGCUACUUAUUACUUAUAAUAUUACUUAUAUUAUGAGUAAAAAGAUGUUUGAAAAUUUUAAUAUUAUACAAGCUUAUUUAUCUUUAUUAUUAUAUCACAAUUAAACAAAAUUAUUGGAUUUGUAAUAAUCGUAACACCCACAAUAGAAUGCAGGUAAAGAACAUUAAUGAUAGCUUGAUACGGUGUCAGAUACGCGCAUGCGGUUUAUCCAAUGAAUUUCCAUUGGUUCUUCCACAAUUACAUUGAUUUCUAGCUAGUCUGUGAUUGGUUGAUGAUACGGCUACCAUUGAUAUCACCCCAGCAGCGAAUUAUCCUGAUAGGUAAUUUUCACGCAAAUAUGAAACAAUUGGGAUUAACGUCGCAACGCAGACAAAGCGGAAAUUCAUCUCAAUUCCAGUAAAUGUUGCUUGAUGAUGAGCUCUUUUGUUUGUAAUUGAUUUCCAAUUUCAUUUUGUAUUACGUCUGUCCAGUUCUUAAUAAAUUAUUUAUCGAUGCAAGUAUUUUAACUUCUUAAUUUGUAUGAAAAAACUACUUACAAAAUGACAAAGUAUUUUAAUCACUUAAGAACUAAAUUAAAAAGCAACAAACUGGCAGAGAAAGUAAUUUUUGUUGUAAUUUAUAAAUUCUUUUAAAGACAAUGAAAUUACGUGAAUAACUUAUUCACGAAAUUGGACGUCAUUAAAUACCUGAUUGUAAUUGAAUAUACGUAUGUAUCGUUAAUGAAUGUUGGACAUUCAAAGCAAAUGCAAUUUGUUCAUAAAUAUUUUAUUAAUCAUUUAUGAAUCAUUUUAUAUAAAUAUUUCGGAUCGAGGUGAAAGCGAUCGUUGUGUUUAAUUUAACACAUAACUGUCUUGUUAUUAUCGUUUGAACUUGCAGGUCAAAGUCAGUCUCAGGUUGUUUAGUCAGUCUCGCUAAGACCGUCGCGGGAUUCUCACUGGCAAUGUCGUGUACUAUCAAAAUUAAUAACUAAUUCCUGUUCAUGUAUUGUGUUUCUACACAUAGCCAUUUGUAUUUCAAUGGAUUCGCUAAUGUGAUUGAACGCAGAGUUAGAUGGGUGCUUUGAUGAGUGAAGACGACUCUUUAACAAUCGAAAAGACAUUUAAUAUUAACAACACAAUGGACGAUAAGAAAGAAGUAUCAAAGGAAAAGGUCAGGAGGAAAUCUCCUCCAUCGCCCUCCCGUGAUGCACGUACGUUCAGUGGUCUAAGUCGACGAUUGGUGAGUCGUAUCUUUUACAUGUAAUUUCUCCAUUAUGCAUGACUAAUAGCCGAAAACGACCCAGGAACUAGUUUUAUUUCUAUCUAUUUUCGUGUAGAUUGUUUUUCAGUGUUUUAUUUGUUAAUUUACACCAUAAUAUGACAAACAAUUUGCCAUUCUUAUCUCUCAUUACUUAUUAUUAAGAAAUAUUAUCCAAAUGGUAUAUAUUGAUUUUGAUGCUUUUUAGUACAAUUUGAAGAAAUAUUUAACAUUUUUAUCAGAAUCUAUGUGUAUCAUUUAGGCAACAUUUAAUUUAAUUAGAGCCAAAACGCGUCUCUCAAGUUGACAAUAGCUUGACGGACGAGGUGUAUUUUAUAAUGCGAGGGUGGUUGGGAUUUGGCGAUUUGGGAGGGUCACUACUUAUAGCCACCUCCUCGUGGUAUGACCUGGUAAUCGAUAUCGUUUCCUGUAGAUUGUAGAGAUUUAAAAACUUUUGAAAUUUCAAGGAAAACGAUAUUGAGCUAAGAGCUGCAAUUGUAAGUUCGUAUAUGAAAAUUGAAGAAUAAAUUGAUCUCGAUUUUAUAUUCAAGAUAGUAUAUUGGCAAUUUUUAAUGUUGCAGUUUAUCAUCGAUUGUGACCAGAAACAAUAAUUUUUUUAUAAUAUAAUUUUGUAUAA